GGGAGGCAGCAGUGGGGAAUUUUGGACAAUGGGCGAAAGCCUGAUCCAGCAAUGCCGCGUGUGUGAAGAAGGCCUUCGGGUUGUAAAGCACUUUUGUCCGGAAAGAAAUCCUUGGCUCUAAUACAGUCGGGGGAUGACGGUACCGGAAGAAUAAGCACCGGCUAACUACGUGCCAGCAGCCGCGGUAAUACGUAGGGUGCGAGCGUUAAUCGGAAUUACUGGGCGUAAAGCGUGCGCAGGCGGUUUGCUAAGACCGAUGUGAAAUCCCCGGGCUCAACCUGGGAACUGCAUUGGUGACUGGCAGGCUAGAGUAUGGCAGAGGGGGGUAGAAUUCCACGUGUAGCAGUGAAAUGCGUAGAGAUGUGGAGGAAUACCGAUGGCGAAGGCAGCCCCCUGGGCCAAUACUGACGCUCAUGCACGAAAGCGUGGGGAGCAAACAGGAUUAGAUACCCUGGUAGUCCACGCCCUAAACGAUGUCAACUAGUUGUUGGGGAUUCAUUUCCUUAGUAACGUAGCUAACGCGUGAAGUUGACCGCCUGGGGAGUACGGUCGCAAGAUUAAAACUCAAAGGAAUUGACGGGGACCCGCACAAGCGGUGGAUGAUGUGGAUUAAUUCGAUGCAACGCGAAAAACCUUACCUACCCUUGACAUGGUCGGAAUCCCGCUGAGAGGUGGGAGUGCUCGAAAGAG
rnacentral:rRNA from 1 species